CCUACGGGCGGCUGCAGUCGAGAAUCAUUCACAAUGGGGGAAACCCUGAUGGUGCGACGCCGCGUGGGGGAAUGAAGGUCUUCGGAUUGUAAACCCCUGUCAUGUGGGAGCAAAUUAAAAAGAUAGUACCACAAGAGGAAGAGACGGCUAACUCUGUGCCAGCAGCCGCGGUAAUACAGAGGUCUCAAGCGUUGUUCGGAAUCACUGGGCGUAAAGCGUGCGUAGGCUGUUUCGUAAGUCGUGUGUGAAAGGCGCGGGCUCAACCCGCGGACGGCACAUGAUACUGCGAGACUAGAGUAAUGGAGGGGGAACCGGAAUUCUCGGUGUAGCAGUGGAAUGCGGAGAUAUCGAGAGGAACACUCGUGGCGAAGGCGGGUUCCUGGACAUUAACUGACGCUGAGGUACGAAGGCCAGGGGAGCGAAAGGGAUUAGAUACCCCAGUAGUC
rnacentral:rRNA from 1 species